GUGUCAGCAGCCGCGGUAAUACAGAGGGUGCGAGCGUUAAUCGGAAUUACUGGGCGUAAAGCGCGCGUAGGCGGCUUUGUAAGUCGGAUGUGAAAUCCCCGGGCUUAACCUGGGAACUGCAUUCGAGACUGCAUAGCUUGAGUAUGGGAGAGGGAGGCGGAAUUUCCGGUGUAGCGGUGAAAUGCGUAGAUAUCGGAAGGAACAUCAGUGGCGAAAGCGGCCUCCUGGACCAAUACUGACGCUCAUGUGCGAAAGCGUGGGGAGCAAACAGGAUUAGAUACCCUGGUAGUCC
rnacentral:rRNA from 1 species